UGAGGAAACCAUUGCAAGCUCUCCUGGAGGCCCCUGCCCCUAGAGGCUAGGGCUCUGCAGCCACUGGACAAUUUGGGUGUCCCUUCUUAGGAGCUUCUGAAAAGGGGGCUCCGGGUGGGGCUGACUUUGUUCUGAUCUGAGCCUGUCUUGGGACCCUUUUCACUCUCCCGAGCCAGAUAGCACACACACUGUCUCCCCCCAGUAGUGGCUCUCCAAUGGAGCUGCGCUCAGAGACACAGCCUUGGGGAUGCACUACAGCUAGGGAUCCAAGUUAUUUCCUCAGCUGGGAUCCAAAUCCUUCGUUUCCUGUAUGCCUCGGUUUCCUCACCAGAUACAUGAUGGGCUGCUGAGAGAAUCCAAAGACCAACACACAGCCAUCUACUUCCUAGGGGGUGGGGAUGGCAUUGGGUGCUGGAGCGGAGUCUUAGGCUAGCUGCUCAGGGGCCUUGGAAUUUGACCUGACUUUCCCAGGCAGGAAGUUCGUCUCUCUUCCUCGGCUCGCCCAGUCCAGUAUUAUAAGCUGCUGACUCUGAAUUUCUCAGCCCUCUAUUCCUGUCUCCGUCGAGAGACAGGAAGAAGGGUGGCUCCCAGAACUGCCACUGGGCCCUGGGCAUGACUAGGUUCUCGAACUCAUCUGGAAGUCUCCUUUCCUUCAUCCACACUCCGUGGCUGGUUUGCCGGUGAGGCGCUAAACCCAGGCUGGCCCAAUUGUCAGCCAUUGUGUGCGAUCCCAUGGGUUGUGUGGGAGCAAUGGGGCUGCCAAAGGCUACAGGUGCCAGAAGAAGAGAGGUGAACUCUCCUGCUCAUCCAGGGCACAUGGACUCAUGGCCUCCCCCUGGUCCUGACCCCUCCCUCCAUGUGGAAUGUUUUUUUCUCCUGAGCCACCUCUUCCUGCUUUAGACUUGAGAAUCAAGGUUCUGAGCCCACUAUAAUGUGGGGUUAGAGAUCACAACUCCAGUGGCCAGCAGAUGGCAGCCCAGGCAUCUCUCGGUGCUUGUGAACUGGUUCGGUGAUCCACUGGUAUCAGGAUUUGUUCUGGUAACUUAUGGAGUAGUAGAUCUAUGAGGAGAACCUCAAAGAAUCUGUAUGAAGCUUUCAGCCUGCUCAGAAUCCACAUGGAGUCCAGCUCUUUCCACAAAAUAAUGAAGACCGAGCCAUGUUUAGCUGCUCAACCCCACGAUGGACAGGUUUACUGUAAGUUGCACUCUUAAGGAACUGGGUGUUUGCAGCCUCCGCUGUGAACAUGAUGUCCUGCAUCUAAUGUCAUCCUGCUUAGCCUCAGGAAGCUGUCUGUGCGCUUUACCUGGCCGGGUGGAGCAAGAAGCCCUGUGCAGCACAGGGAAUUGGUGAUACAGCAUGUAGUGGAGCCUGAAGAAAGUGCACCGUGUCUUUCAAGACCCGUUCUUCCUCUAUAGCAGUGGUCCUCAGCCUUCCUCAUGCUGCGGCCCUCUAAUGCACUUCCUCGUGUUGUGGUAACCCACCCGUACAAUUUUCACUGCUUCUUCAUACCUGUAAUUUUGCUACUGUGGUGGAUCUGUAAUGUAAAUAUUUGCUAUGCAGGAUAUCCGGUAUCUGAUCUCUGUGAAAGGCCCAAAGGGGUCACGACCCAUGACUGAGAACCGCUACUCUACAGUGUGUGCUUGUAUGUCCAUAUCUUGGCUUGCCCGAUGGCUGCCACCAGACUGAAAAGCAUUAGAAUAUAUUUUAAUUAUGUGUA
rnacentral:sRNA from 1 species